rnacentral:tRNA from 1 species
GGGGAUGUGACUCAGAGGUAGAGCGUUCGCUUUGCAUGUGAUAUGCCCCGGUUUCGAUCCCCGGCAUCUACA